rnacentral:rRNA from 1 species
UGGGGAAUCUUGCACAAUGGGGGAAACCCUGAUGCAGCGACGCCGCGUGAACGAUGAAGCCCUUCGGGGUGUAAAGUUCUUUCGACAGGAACGAUAAUGACGGUACCUGGAGAAGAAGCUGCGGCUAACUACGUGCCAGCAGCCGCGGUAAUACGUAGGCAGCGAGCGUUGUUCGGAGUUACUGGGCGUAAAGAGUGCGUAGGCGGCGAGCCAAGUUCGGUGUGAAAUCUCCCGGCUUAACCGGGAGGGUGCGCCGAAAACUGGUUGGCUGGAGUAUGGGAGAGGAAAGCGGAAUUCCUGGUGUAGCGGUGAAAUGCGUAGAUAUCAGGAGGAACACCUGCGGUGUAGACAGCUUUCUGGACCAAAACUGACGCUGAGGCACGAAAGCGUGGGUAGCAAACA